rnacentral:lncRNA from 1 species
CCCGGAGGCGCUGGGGCUGCCCUGGGCCGUCACGUGCGAGAAAUCGUCUCACCCCAGCCAGUGUGAGGGAGUGAGAGCAAAAGAAAGUUUUGAUAGCAGCGUACGAUUUAUAUUCAGCUGUAUGCUGGACAGGUCCAACUUGGCAUUUCUUGGCUGUAUCUCUGAAGGAAAGUCAUCUUAAUCUCUAUGAGCCUCCAUUUCCUCAGCUGUAAAAUGGGAAGAUCUUCCUCACACUGCUGUGAGGAAGCGGAUUUUCUGACGCAUAUGAAGAGUGAGAACUGUCUACAUCUAAGUCUUCUUUGAGAACAAUACCAGCUGAGCGGCUAUUUACAUUCCAGCUUCUUUUGAGAAUCUCUGAAGAUGAUUAAGUCAUUGUCAGCUGGUAAGGGUUGGUCUCACCACUUCUCAUGUUGGAUCAUUGAGGCAAG